UUUGAGCUGGUCAGGAGAGUGGUUGAAGGA
rnacentral:piRNA from 1 species